rnacentral:SRP_RNA from 2 species
GCUGGGCAUGGUGGCGCAUGCCUGUAGUCCCAGGUACUCGGGAGGCUGAGGCAGGAGAAUUGCUUGAACCUGGGAGGCGGAGGUUGCAGUGAGCUGAGAUUGAGCCACUGCACUCCAGCCUGGGUAACAGAGUGAGACCCCGUUUCAA